GGCAAGGUGGCCGAGUGGUUAAGGCGGCAGAUUUAAGCAGCGCUACUGUUCACAGUGGCGUGAAAAACCCUGCUUCGUAAUGAGUCCAGGGUUCGAACCCCUGCCUUGUCA